UACCUCGGCGAGUCUUUGAUUUAACAUACAGAACAAUCUACCCACGACACAGCUUUUUAUUUCACACCUAUCUGCAAUGACCCACAUCCAGGAGCUUCCAAAAGUAGAAACAGAGAGGAGCUAGCCACCAUUUUCUCACUAAGUGCCCUUCAUAUUCUUGAAGAUGACUGUUCUUCAAUCUCCCCUUAAGAUCCACAUCACCACGAUCAAGAAGACUUUCCAAAGAGUAAAAUACAAAUCGAUAUUCAAUUUUCCUCCAAUUAUGAAGAAAUAAACCAACUUCGG